GAUAAUAGUAGAAAUUUCUGCUUGGGCCUGUGAUUAAGAGACAUUUACACUGCCCUCUUAUUGACGUUAGAAUGUUCACCAUGUUUAAAUAUUUCAAGUCGAAUAUACUACAUUGACUAUCUGAAUCUCUAUCAAGUAAAAACUCAACAACUUUGUAUGGCUGGAUACCUAAGAUGUCUUUAAAAAGGACGGAGAAGAGCAUCUAAAGAGCAAAAUAAAAUAAAAAAGGAGCAAAAAAAAGAAUGAAAUAUCCAGAGAUCCUAAAUGGAGCCAAUUAAGUAUAAGAUCCCCUUUCUCCAACAUUUAGACUGUUAUUGCCCAUUUUUGGAGCAAACUUCUCAACUAUCUUAAGAAGGGAUGGAUCAUUUCCACUAUCUCUGAACGAAUCUAGUAAAAAGGCAAAAGUAGAUACUUGCAGUGAGAAUCCUCGCUAAAUCCAUUUCUUCAAAAUAAACCACUGCAUCAUCAAUUCACUUGCCUUGAUAAGUCCUUGGACAAUAAUGUUUAAGAUAAACAAUGCAAUUACCAUAUGGUAUGGGCGAUAAACUCAACAUCUUGAUGCUGCCACUGAGCAUGUCCAAUAUAUUAGAGAAGCGUUUUUGGCAUAAUGAAAGAAUAGAAGAUGAUGUCGGCCAGAACUUGAGCAACAAAAGCAGCCCCUCUGCAUCAAUGGCUUCUGAUUAUGCUAACAACUAAGUAAGCUCUUCUAUCUUCUCUCACAAAAUUCAGAAAGGAAAGAGAAUUUUUCGUCCAUAAU
rnacentral:lncRNA from 1 species